UCGUGUCGUGAGAUGUUGGGUUAAGUCCCGCAACGAGCGCAACCCUCACCUCUUGUUGCCAUCAGGUCAUGCUGGGCACUCUAGAGGAACUGCCCCGGUCAACGGGGAGGAAGGCGGGGAUGACGUCAAGUCAUCAUGCCCCUUACGUCCUGGGCUACACACGUGCUACAAUGGACGGUACAGAGGGUCGCAAAGCCGCGAGGUUGAGCUAAUCCCAUAAAACCGUCCUCAGUACGGAUUGCAGUCUGCAACUCGACUGUAUGAAGCAGGAAUCGCUAGUAAUCGC
rnacentral:rRNA from 1 species